rnacentral:rRNA from 1 species
AAACUAACAAGGAUUCCCCUAGUAACUGCGAGUGAAGCGGGAAAAGCUCAAAUUUAAAAUCUGGCAGCUUUGGCUGUCCGAGUUGUAAUCUGGAGAAGCGUCUUCCGCGCUGGACCGUGUACAAGUCUCCUGGAACGGAGCGUCAUAGAGGGUGAGAAUCCCGUCUUUGACACGGACUACCAGUGCUUUGUGAUGCGCUCUCAAAGAGUCGAGUUGUUUGGGAAUGCAGCUCAAAAUGGGUGGUGAACUCCAUCUAAAGCUAAAUAUUGGCGAGAGACCGAUAGCGAACAAGUACCGUGAGGGAAAGAUGAAAAGCACUUUGGAAAGAGAGUUAAACAGUACGUGAAAUUGCUGAAAGGGAAACGCUUGAAGUCAGUCGCGUUUGCUAGGACUCAGCCUUGCCUCGGCAUGGUGCACUUCCUAGUAAACGGGCCAGCAUCACUUUUGGCUGCGGGAAAAGGAUCAGAGGAAUGUGGCACCUUCGGGUGUGUUAUAGCCUCUGGUUGUAUACCGUGGCUGGGAGUGAGGAUCUCAGCACGCCUUACGGCGGGGCUUCGGCCACCUUCGUGCUUAGGAUGCUGGCGUAAUGGCUUUAAACGACC